GUGGAUGACUAACGCUGGGCCCUAUUCUAAGUGCUUCACUCAUGCAGGCUGUUUGGGCUUCUCACGAGGACUCUGGGGAGUAGGCAGCAUAAUUCUCCCAAAUAUACGAAAAAUGAGAACACUGAAACAUACAGAGGCACUGGAGCUGUGAUUCUUGCACUAAGAAGCAUGAAGGAUACAAAAGAGAAGCAAAAACCAGAAGCACAGAGAAGGAAGUAGGGGAAAACAUUGUAAAACAGAUGAGAAGAGCUGAAAACAAAAUCUGGAUUCCAUUGACAAUCGAUUUGAAAAUUAAGCCACAAAGGGAAAAUGGACAAUGAAGUCUUAUUAAAGAGGCAUCUUAUUAAAGACACAUUGAGCUCAA